UACGUAGGGUGCUAGCGUUAUCCGGAAUUAUUGGGCGUAAAGCGCGCGUAGGCGGUUUUUUAAGUCUGAUGUGAAAGCCCACGGCUCAACCGUGGAGGGUCAUUGGAAACUGGAAAACUUGAGUGCAGAAGAGGAAAGUGGAAUUCCAUGUGUAGCGGUGAAAUGCGUAGAUAUAUGGAAGAACACCAGUGGCGAAGGCGACAUUCUGGUCUGUUACUGACACUGAGGCUCGAAAGCGUGGGGAGCAAACAGG
rnacentral:rRNA from 1 species